AUGGGUUUGGGGCUACACUGGGUUUUCUUUGUUGCUCUUUUAAAAGGUGUCCACUGUGAGGUGCAGCUGGUUGAGUCUGGUGGAGGAUUGGUGAAGCCUGCAGGGUCACUGAAACUCUCCUGUGCGGCCUCUGGAUUCACAUUCAGUAACUAUUUCAUGAACUGGGUUCGCCAGGCUCCAGGGAAGGGACUGGAGUGGGUUGCUCACAUAGAAACUAAAAGUUAUAAUUAUGCAACCUAUUACGUGGAUUCGGUGAAAGGCAGAUUCACCAUCUCCAGAGAUGAUUCCCAAAGCAUGGCCUACCUGCAAAUGAACAACCUGAGAACUGAGGACAUGGCCACUUAUUACUGUACAAGAUACACAGUGAGGAGUCUCCAGUGGGAUACCAGCACCUGCAAGGGGCGCAAUGGAGCCAAGAAUCCUCAGGAGGUAGAUGAGGUCGAUGUGGACGGACUCUACUACUAUGUUUACUGGGUGAAGCAGAGGCCUGGACAGGGACUGGAGUGGGUUGGAGAUAUUGAUCCUGGAAAUGGUGAUACUGACUACAAUCAGAAGUUCCAAUGCAAGGCCACAAUAACUGCAGACACAUCCUCCAGCACAGCCUACAUGGAGCUCAGCAGCCUGACGUCUGAGGACUCUGCAGUCUAUUACUGUGCUAUACACAGUGUUGCAACCACAUCCUGA